GUCCACGCCCUAAACGAUGUCUACUAGUUGUUGGUGGAGUAAAAUCCAUGAGUAACGCAGCUAACGCGUGAAGUAGACCGCCUGGGGAGUACGGUCGCAAGAUUAAAACUCAAAUGAAUUGACGGGGGCCCGCACAAGCGGUGGAUUAUGUGGAUUAAUUCGAUGCAACGCGAAAACCUUACCUGGCCUUGACAUGUACCGAAUUUACCAGAGAUGGUUUAGUGCUCGAAAGAGAACGGUAACACAGGUGCUGCAUGGCUGUCGU
rnacentral:rRNA from 1 species